UUUGAGAAACUUCAUGUGCCACGAAAUUUCUCAUUUACUACAUGACAGUGAUGACACAACCCACAAUGGGGAGGGAAACUUCUGACUUCUGAGAAUAAUCAGACUUUCUCAAGGACAGUUUGUCUCCACUUCACCCCCACCUUCCAUGGAAAUUUCCUCCUAUGCUUACCAUCUUCACCCAACUUGUGGUAACGAAAAAAUAAAAUAAAAAAAUUAGAAAGGAAAUUUUUUUAUCAUAUUUAGUUUUUCCACUAGAAAUAUAAAAAAUAAAUUAAUUAAAAUUUUAUAUAUUUUAAAUUAUUUAAUUAGUUAAAAUAAGUGAAAUGCGCUUCAAAUUUGAUAUAAAUUAGAUUUAUUUAUUUAUUUUAUUUGCCAUUAAAUUAAAUCUAAAUCAAUUUUUAAUCAAUGAAUCUAUGUUGAUCAUGUUAAACUUAAAAGUAAUUGUAUCCAGCUACUUUUCGAACGUUACAAUUUAUUUUUUAAUACGUAACCAUGUGAAAUUUUUAUUUUUUAUCUGGAUAGGCUUUUGGACCCCUUUCAAAUGGAUGGGCCACAAUUGAAAAUGGGCCGGAUCGGAAAGAUGUGGUCGCCCAAAGGAAUCGAGGUCCAUAACGGUUGCUUCCUGACAAAGCGAAGGCGCAUGUUCUCAACCACGAUUCGUGUCGCCGAAUCAACGAACAAUUAUGGGCUAAUAGAUCAUAAAGGAAACAAAUGCUAAGGUGACAAGAAUGUCCUCGACUUGGCGCCAUUCUUGUUUCAACCAAAUCUAGCGAGGAGGACAUAUCUGUAUUUUCAGUUUAUAAGUUAUCUUCUCCUCCGUUUGGUUAUGAUAUUUUUGUAGUCACCCCAUAAUCUUUUGAAAUUGCAACUAGGCCCUUUCAUGGCGACUCUCACCGCCGUGUCUUCUGCUUCAUGGCCAAACCCUAACCCUAGUCCUAAUUCGACCUUUCUCUCUCAGCAGAGCCACCCCGAGCAGUAUCCGGCGGUUCAGGAUCCCACUGCAAUGCGUCAGCAUCAGGGAACCGGCCUCUCCGGAGAUGGAGGCGAGGAUGAAUCAUUUUCUUCUUCUCCAAAUCAUCACACUGUUCAAAGCCCUAAUUCUAAUCUUCGUGAAGUUGUAUCUUAUUCGACAUCCUCUAUACCGUCUCUUCUCCAUAUUUCCUUCAAUCAGGACCACGGUUGCUUCGCCGCGGGCACGGAUAACGGCUUCCGGAUCUAUAAUUGCGACCCGUUCCGCGAGAUUUUCCGGCGAGACUUCGACCGCGGCGGAGGAAUUGGCGUCGUGGAGAUGCUAUUCCGGUGCAACAUCCUGGCCCUGGUUGGCGGCGGACCUGAGCCGCAGUAUCCGCUCAACAAAGUCAUGAUUUGGGAUGAUCACCAAAGCCGGUGCAUUGGAGAGCUGUCAUUCCGAUCGGAGGUCCGAGCAGUUAAGCUCCGGCGGGACCGUAUCAUAGUGGUCUUGGAACAGAAGAUUUUCUUGUACAACUUCGCGGACUUGAAGCUGUUACAUCAGAUUGAGACGAUUGCAAAUCCCAGGGGGCUUUGCGCGGUUUCGCAGCUCACUGCGUCGCUUGUGUUGGUGUGUCCAGGGUUGCAGAAGGGGCAGGUCAGGGUCGAGCAUUACGCUUCGAGGAGGACCAAGUUCUUCGCGGCCCAUGAUUCUAGACUUGCGUGUUUCGCGCUCACUACGGACGGCCAAUUGCUCGCCACUGCAAGCACCAAAGGAACUCUGGUUAGAAUUUUCAAUACUUCCGAUGGCACACGGCUGCAAGAGGUACAUUAUAUGCCCUUUUUCAGUUCUGCGCUUUGAGGAGUGAACUUGAAAUUUUGAUGAUUCUGUAAAUGGGCCAUAGGCUAUUGAUAUUUUGAUGUUUCUCUAUUAGGGUUAUUAUAAAAGUAGUAUUCCCAAUUUCCCGAUUUUAGGUUUCUUGUUGAAAUAGAUUGUGAAGUAUAAUUCAUUUAGCCAUGUCCCUUCUUUUUCCUCUACUUCUUGUGGAGACCACAGCAGGCACAGUUGACGUACAACCUCAAUUUGGAUAGCUGUUGUUGUUAGCAAACAGUUCAAAGUGUGACUGGUUUUUGUAGUUAUCAUGCUAGGAUCACCUUCAAUCUCAAUUGAGAACAACGGAAAAUGUCUUCACACAAUAAUAACCUGCCGUGUAAGUAUCGAUUGAAGGUUAAUCCUUUCUGGGAUUCAUAGCCAUAAAUGAAGCUUGAAUAGUACUCUGCGUUGCAAGAAACAAGUAUAAAUGAACUUCCUUUGUCUACUUGUGGAUUAAUCUAAUGAACCAAUUUUUCUGAACUGCAGAGGAGCUCUUGUUUAUGUUAGAAACUCAUAUUACUUGCUAUUCGAUACUUAUUCUACCAUUCAUCUUUCUGCAAGAAUUUGACAUGUAUCAUAGAUUUAAAUUAAUUGAAUAUCUAAUGUAGGUGCGGCGGGGAGCAGAUAGAGCUGAGGUUUACAGUAUGGCAUUCUCUUCAACUGCCCAGUGGCUAGCAGUAUCAAGUGACAAGGGCACUGUCCAUGUUUUUGGGCUUAAGGUUAACUCAGGAUCCUUAGGAAAUGACAAGUCCCAUGGUGCAUCUGAUGCCAAUCUUGCUGUUGCAUCAUCCGGCUUAUCUCUUUCUUUCAUCAAGGGUAAGGUGCCUUUUCUAGAAUAUGACUUGAGGCUGACCAUUUUUCUUGAUUUUGAAUAAACAGGUCAAUUGAGUUAUAAAUAUGUGAGGUUGGGAGGCUAAUUAUACCGACUCAAGCAAAAUGCCAAACUCUAUUAAAUGGGUUGCACAAGGCUGUAUGAUAAUUAGGUUGUGUUUAAUUUCAUUGUUUUAACCUAAUUAUCAUUCAUGUCAUGUUUUUCUUAUGUCGAAUAACUAGUUUUGACACAACAUGAACAUGAUCUAGUAACACGAAUUGACACCCCUGGCUAUUAUGUGAAUAUGCAUACGCAAAGUUAAAAUAGGCUUCACUGCUUGAUCUCCAUGGUUCCAAGACCACAUAUUGGAUGGAACUUUAAUAAUACAGUUUUGUUUUUGAUAAGCAAAACUGUAUUAUCAUCGGGCCUUGUAUGUGUACUCUUGAAUGCAACUGUAUCCACUUCUCUCCUUUUGAAUGCAACUGCUUUCUCUUGGUUCCUGUUACUGGAUGGUGCUUACUAGAGUAUCAACUAAUGGAAGUGAAGAAUAGGAGAGAUUAGGCCAUGGGGUUCAGGAUUCUAUUUAUUUAUUUAUCAGUUUUUGGAUAAUCAUCAUGGGCAUGUCUAUUGCGUUUCUUAUUGAACAGAAGCUUUGAAGUUCUAUCCUUUUGAUUCUAAUUCUGACUAGGUUUUCAUGUGCAGGAGUGCUGCCCAAGUAUUUCAGCUCUGAGUGGUCGGUUGCUCAGUUCCGCCUUCAUGAGGGUUCUCAGUAUAUUGUUGCAUUUGGUCAUCAGAAGAACACAGUGGUAAUUCUGGGAAUGGAUGGAAGGUAAGAGAUAUUCUUAACAGAAGUUUGUGAGAAGAGUUGAUCUGAAAUGGAAUCAUGAUAAGCAAUUGAAUUGAAUUUGAAUGCAGCUUCUAUAGAUGUCAGUUCGAUCCUGUGACUGGGGGAGAGAUGACACAGCUGGAGUAUCACAACUUCCUUAAACCAGAAGAAGCUUUCUAAUGGAGAUCUAGGAUAUUAUCUGCAUGCCCAAUUUCCUAGCUAUAUAUGACAUCCCUCUCUCUCUGGGUCUUUGUGCCCUUUGUCCCCUUUUCCCCUUCUAGGUGUGGCCUAUGGGUCCAUUAUGGUGUAAAUAUACGAGUAUAGAUAGGUCAAAGUUUAAGACUAAUUUACCAUUAACAAGGAAAAAUGAAAUUUAAUGAAAAAAAAAAAAAAGAAGAGAGAUUAGUACUCAUUUUUCAUACUUGUCUUCAUAUUUGCCAUUGUGUGGACGGGUUUAUUUGGACAACCUUUUUUUAUAAUUUAGAUUACCAACCUUCCUUAUUUAAUAUCAACCAAAAAAAUAUUUUAUACAAUAUUCUUUAUAAAAAACGAGACUUUUCUAUAAUCUUGAGGCAAAUUCCAUUAUACCAUAAAUGGAAUUUGCCUAUUUAUCAUGCCUAUAUCUAUGAAUGAGAAAAAUCAUUUCAUUAUACCAUAAAAUCAAAUGCAAUUAUCAAAACACCUAAUGUUUCUCCACUUCUUAUAUCCACCGUAAACUAUGAGCCUCCUACUCUACUUGGUAUAUCUUUAUCCAAUUUAAAUAGUUUUUAAAUAUUAAUCUUUAUUCCAUAAUUUUUUCCUCCCCUAACCUAAAAUAUUUAUAAUGAUAUUCUUAACAAUUUUUUUAUUAUAUAUAAUAAAAUCUAAUAUUACAAUAAUAUAUUAAAAGUCCUCACUCCAUCACAAUACUUAAUUUUUUUCUAAGCAAUUAAUUCUCUAUUCUUUCGAUUUUUUUGCUUUUAACUACCAUUGGGCAAUUACAUUUUUAAAUAUAAAUUUCAAAGUACACGUUUAUUAGAAUCCUGUUAAGAAAUACAAAACAUGUUGUGGACCCCGCGUUUCGAUCUAUCUCAAUGCGUUUCCCACUCAAUGGCGAGCUCGAUUUUUAUUUUAUUAGAAAAAAUGAUUUUUAUCGAUUAAGAAAAUGACUUGGAGUCGCCACUUAUUUUUGUUUUAUUAUUAAAGGGUAAACAAAAUAAGAAAGAAAAACCCUAAGUGUGACUCCUUAUUUUGGAAAAGGCGGUCUGUGAAAAACCGGAUCGGGUUCGGGGGUCAGGUUACUUCUCGGGAAGGUAUGGUAAAGACCGUAGCACCCCUCUAAGUCCCUAAAGUCGGGUCUCUACUAAUAAAAUGAAGCUGACAUGACAACCAAUGAGAAAGUCAAUGAAUACCUAGGACGAAUCAUGCACAUACGAGAAUUAAAACAUGCAAAUAAAAUGAUUAGGAUGCGAGUGGAUGUGUACCUGGACCGUGAACGAUCAAUGCGCUAUCAUAAAACAGGGUUAGUGAGCAAUGAACAAAAUAUAAUUAAGCGCAUAACAUGGAACAAAAUAAAUCAAACACGCACGAUAAGUAAAUCAAUCAAACAAUCAAUCAAUCGUCAAUUCACAUAUGUGGGGCCCCCACCAAAGCCCGUUUAUUUUUGCAUGAAUUAAUUCCAUAAUUUCCAUUAUUCGGAGUUACAGAAUUGAAUCUAUGCUUAUUUUUAAAACAUUUUAAAAGAUCAUGAAAGAUUUAAAAAAAUUGCUUGCCGAAUAGAAAAUGGAAGCAAAUUUUAUUAAAAAGAGAUUUCAAGUGAUUCUAAAAAAAAACCUAAAGGUGAAAAUUAAAAAUAAAUAAAUAAAUAAAUUAUUUGAUAAAAAUGGAGUUUGGAAAAUUAACAAAGAAACUAGAAAUCGGGAAAUUAUGUGGAAAAUGGGAGUUUUAGGACUUAAAAAUAAAUCUAAAGAUGAAAAUUCGAAAAGCAAAAAUUGUUUGAAGGAUUUGGAAAUUUGACAUUAUAAAAAAAAAACAAUUGGAGGGAUUAUUAAUAAAAUGAUGUUCAGGAAAAUUAAUUUGGAAAUCAUAGGAACAGGAAGUGGGUGAUAACACGUGGCUUCCGAUUUACUGCCAUUGCCACUAUACCCACCAUAGUCACCAAGCCCAUAGUCAAUGCCUCCAAGUGCUCGGUAGGAAAUAGGCCCAAAACACUAAGACGUGCCCCAGAGUUAGAGAAGAUGCUGGAGAGAUCUUUGAUCAAGCCACUUCACCAGAUUUAUGGCGAUAGAUCUUUCCGAAGACAUGAAGAACGGUGACAAAGCCGAUAAAGCAAAGGUUCAUCACGAGAACCACCGUUGGAGUAAUCUUCAAGCCCGGAUCGUCAUCGGUGUAGAACAAGAGCAUGUUGCUCUCGCUGCUGCCACUGCCGCACCCUCCGGAGCUCUGAAACGACAGUGCGUGUGAGGAGAUUGACAACGACGCCGUCGAAGACAACCGGUCUACAUAACCCUCCAACAAGCUUCGUCCUGAAGCUACUUCUGCCGCGGUGCUUUCCACAUGUCGUCCAUACAUCCAGUGACCCGAAUCAGCGCCACCUCGUCCUCAACUCCAACGCAGCUGAAUCUCACGCUGCUGUCCAGUUUGACCUGCGUCGGAAAGAACGACGUUGGGGGCCACGCAGGCAUCGACGGUGAUCUUCGGGAGCCACUGCCCCAGGGGAAUUAUCCUUCUCCGUCCUUUUUUUGAGCCUUCAACACUUUCUACAGCAAAAGUCUCCUCAACUUUUGAUGGCCCCCACAUGUACCAGUUGAGGCUAUUUUAUGAAUUUCNNNNNNNNNNNNNNNNNNNNNNNNNNNNNNNNNNNNNNNNNNNNNNNNNNNNNNNNNNNNNNNNNNNNNNNNNNNNNNNNNNNNNNNNNNNNNNNNNNNNAUUCAAAACAAGAUGUCCAAUACUCCAAAAGAACACCAAAAAAACAGAGAAGAAAGUGAAGAAAACAGAGUGCGUGCAAGAGAUGAUAAUACCAUUAAACCAAACUUUACUUCAUGAAGAUCGGAGAGCUUAAAACAAUCUGGUGGGUUAAGUGAAUGGUUUUAACACAUAAACAAACAACAUCGACACCAUGUGACUCACACAGGAAUAAACAAAAAUCAAGCAAGCAGGGAUGAAAACAUGCUUAAGAUCUUAAACAGUCAAAAUGAACAUUUCAAAUAUUAGGAAAGGAGUCAAAUAUGGUUGUGAAAAGGAAAAACCUGAAGUCGAAGACAACCAAAAUUUGGAUGACUCCUUUUCUCUCUGUGACUGAAAUCCCACCUUCUCGUUCUACUCCCUGAGCUGAGAACUCUCCUCUCAACUCCAAACUCACUCCAGACCAGCCUCUCUUCACUCUCCCCCUCCUCUCUGACUCUCUCUCUCUAGCUAAACUCCUCUAAGCCUUCCCUCCUCCUCAAAAUAUCUCUAACGGACUCUGAAAAGCACUCCCUACUCCAGCUGCCAGAGACGCUCCUCCAUUCACGGCUUCCAGAUUCCCAUGCAACGUGUCCCCUUUUGAUUGGCUUCCCAAACCACUAUUAUGAUUCUCUCAUGGCUUCUCAGGUGUUGACACGUGGCUGACCAAGGCUCUUCCACAUGGUAAAAUUGAGCUGCAAGGUAGGAAUGACCUAAAAGGGGGUCUACAAAUAUGCCCCUCUUCGGUAGAGUUCACGAGUGUAAAGAACAUGAACACUGGAGUGAAAAGUAAGUGUGAAUAGUGAGUGGAAUGAAGUGAACUCUACCGAAGAACCAAGGAGACCCCCAUAGAGACACUAGUGAGAUAUAAACUCACUCAGACUAACAGAUAAACAACGAGGCUCUAAUCCUAAAAGGAAAUGAUGUCUCAAAAAUGCCUCUGCAGCCACACUAAGGAUCCAAGCUCCCUCUAAGACGUCUCCAAAAGUGACUCGAAGAUCAAUGUCAAAGAUGAGUAACAGUCGAACCACCCUAGAGUACAAGAAAGAAUGUGCCCGAAGGAAACUACCCUAUGUGAACUACAUGAGAAGACUAGGUGUAGGGUGCCCAACAACAUGACAAAAAUACGCAUCACGGAAUCAAAGAACUAUGUCAUGUGCAAUGGAAUGGGAAGUCUAGAAGAGCAAUGACGAUCAAGCAAUGAGCUCCAGGUAACUGAGUGAGGAAAAUGACUCUGAAAAACCAAAAUGGAGGAAUAAUGGCGACUCAGAAUGCAAAGAAGACUCAACUAUGCAGGUGUGACUCGAAGGUGAACAAGACUCAACUCAAUCCGACAAAACAAUGACCGAUCGAUAUAGGUGCGGUCCCGACUCAAACUGAACUGAUAGGAAGAUGGUCGAUCGAUAUAGGUGCGGCCCAGACUCAAACUGACGUGAUGAAUGACCGAUCGAUAUAGGUGCGGUCCCGACUCGAACUGAACUGAUAGGAAGAUGGCCGAUCGAUAUAGGUGCGGCCCCGACUCAAACUGACAUGAUGAAUGACCGAUCGAUAUAGGUGCGGUCCCGACUCGAACUGAACUGAUAGGAAGAUGGCCGAUCGAUAUAGGUGCGGCCCCGACUCAAACUGACAUGAUGAAUGACCGAUCGAUAUAGGUGCGGUCCCGACUCUAACUGAACUGAUAGGAAGAUGGCCGAUCGAUAUAGGUGCGGCCCCGACUCAAACUGACAUGAUGAAUGACCGAUCGAUAUAGGUGCGGUCCCGAAACUAAACUGAUAGAAAGAUGGCCGAUCGAUAUAGGUGCGGCCCCGACUCAAACUGACAUGAUGAAUGGCCGAUCGAUAUAGGUGCGGUCCCAGAAACUAAACUGAUAGGAAGAUGGCCGAUCGAUAUAGGUGCGGCCCCGACUCAAACUGACAUGAUGAAUGACCGAUCGAUAUAGGUGCGGUCCCAGAAACUAAACUGAUAGGAUGAAUGACCGAUCGAUAUAGGUGCGGUCCCAGAAACUAAACUGAUAGGAUGAAUGACCGAUCGAUAUAGGUGCGGUCCCAGAAACUAAACUGAUAGGAUGAAUGACCGAUCGAUAUAGGUGCGGUCCCAGAAACUAAACUGAUAGGAAGAUGGCCGAUCGAUAUAGGUGCGGCCCCGACUCGAACUGAACUAAUAGGAAGAUGGCCGAUCGAUAUAGGUGCGGCCCCGACUCAAACUGACAUGAUGAAUGACCGAUCGAUAUAGGUGCGGUCCCAGAAACUAAACUGAUAGGAUGAAUGACCGAUUGAUAUAGGUGCGGUCCCAGAAACUAAACUGAUAGGAAGAUGGCCGAUCGAUAUAGGUGCGGCCCCGACUCAAACUGACAUGAUGAAUGACCGAUCGAUAUAGGUGCGGUCCUAGAAACUGAACUGAUACGAAGAUGGCCGAUCGAUAUAGGUGCGGCCCCGGAUUCUAACUGAACUGAUAGGAAGAUGGCCGAUCGAUAUAGGUGCGGCCCCGACUCAAACUGACACGAUAAUGACCGAUCGAUAUAGGUGCGGCCCCGACUCGAACUCAAACUGAUAAGAUGAAUGACCGAUCGAUAUAGGUGCGGUCCCGACUCAAACUGACACGACGAAUGACCGAUCGAUAUAGGUGCGGUCCCGACUCGAACUGAACUGAUAGGAAGAUGGCCGAUCGAUAUAGGUGCGGCCCCGGACUCUAACUGACACUGAUGAUGAUGAAUGACUUGGUCAAGUGACCCAAAACCAAAGGAUGACUCAGAUAAUAAUGCAAACAAACUCGAUCGGAGGGGAUAUGCCCCAGUAUGACAACUCAUGCGGAUCGACAACUAGGUCGACAGAUAAUGAAGCCUGUGAAAGGUCCGAUGAUCUCGGAGAAGGAGGGUAUGCCCCAGUAUGCAACUCAAGGGAAUCAACAACUAGAUCAAAAGUGAGUGAAACCGGUGGAAGGUUCAAUGCUCUCGGAGAAGGGGUAUGCCCCAGUAUGCAAUGACGAACAGACAGAGAUGCAAAAUGCCUCAAAACUACUGUACUCUGAAAUAUGCUCAUCCAUCAUGUAAUGAAAAUGUCCAACCUCAAAUAGGUAAUGCCAAACAGGACUAUGUAUAGUGAUACCAUGCUGACUAAACAGAAAUGACUGACGAAUAAAAACAAUGAUGACCAAUGCCCGAAAUGUGAAAAACAAGCAAAUCAACACUCAACAUGCCAACUGUCAAAAUGAAAGCAUCAACACUAAUAAGUCAGCAAUCUGUCAGGCCCUGCCAUCAUGGAAGAUGUUGAACCUAAAGUCCAAAAGAUAUAUGAAAGCACAACCAAGGUGAUCGAGGACUGAUCUACAUCUCCUCAUAAUCGAGAAAGGGGUGAGGUCAUGUGCCAUGGUAAGAUGUGAAGGAUAAAAGAAGGUGAUGGUCAGGCUCCGGUAUGAGAGAAGGUAUGAAAGUAUCCAUGGUGAAACGUCUGAGUAUGAAAUGAAAGGUAGGGAGAUAUCCGAGAUCAUCCAAGUAUGCCGAGAAGACUAAACCCAAGGUGUCGAUAACUCCAUAACCCAUCGUAAGUAGCAAUCACAAACAGGAAGUCAAGCCUCAAUGUCAAAACCUCCAACAAGGUGGCUAUGCCCCAGUAUGCAAUGAGGACAACAUGAAAUAAUCCAAUGAUCUCCCUAUCACUCGUCAGGUGCUCCAAUGUCAAGAACCAAUAUGAUCUCCCUCCAAAAGAUGGACAUGCCCCAAUGUAAAGGAUCCAAAUAGGGUGGCUAUGCUCCAAUGAAAAAUGCUCUCCGUCCCGGCUAUGCCCCAGUGUAAAGUAGUGUAUCCGAGUCAGCAAAUCAAUCAACCUCUACUCCCGGUGCCAAAACGGAAACAUCUCAACAUAAUCCAUAUGAAUCAGAAUCCCCGGGCUCCAUGAAUGUGAAUGCGGUGGCUAUGCCCCAGUAUAAACCAACUGAAGUGACUAUGCUCCAAUGACCAAUCAAAGUCCAUCACCAAUGAGAGGGCUACGCCUCAAAUAAAAUCGUCAUCUCAAAAACCAACCAUCGAUGAGUAGAGUGUGUCCCAAUGCAGAGUAUCGAGUAGAGCGACCGUAUCUCCAAUAAAAACGCCCUCUGAAAUGGCUAUGCCCCAGUAUAGGGUCAUCCCACAACUCCUGAUCCAUCGUAAUCCAAGUGAAGAAGCGAACUGACUAUGCCUCAGUGCAAGGCACCAUCCAGAAAGAAAAUGUCAUCAAUGAGCGGGGUAUGCCCCAGUGUAGAUAACGUCGCCUCUGAAAGUCCAUCACCGAUAAGAGGGGUAUGCCCCAGUGUAAAUCAUCAUCUCAACUCCACAUCCAUAAUGCUCUGAGAGAUAAUCACCGACCAAGCUCGAGUAUUGCCCAUGUGUGAGCCGUCAAACACAAUGUGAAGUAAUGGCCUCAGGGUGGUCUUCAGACAUGGGACGUAACGUAGGGCAAGGUAAUAGGGUGAAAGAAACGAAAGGAAACUAGGCUAAAAAAUCCCAAUGAUACAAUCCCCAUACCCCUCGUGCAUGAUAUGCAAUGCGCAGAAAAUGUCAUGAGUCCCGGACCUAGGGGUCCCCACACGAAAAGUGAUGAUAAAUGAAUGGAUACAUCGAAUAAGCAAGAAUAAAGUGUGGAUGCUGAACCCAUGUCAAACAUCAAACAGAAUGAGAAUAGAAUGAGAUAAGAUGAAAUGGAGUGAAACGGAGGGAUAAAAUAAAGAUGAAAGAAGGCGAAGAGAUAGAAAAAUGAGUGAUGGUCAACCUGCAUCAAAGCAUGGAAAGUAGUCACAUCCGAAAUAGACGGAAUGAUGGAUAGAGCAAGGAUCCAGAGAUACAGAAGAAAAGUCGCUCGCAUCUCUCACAAAAAACGAAUGGGCGAAUCAUACUCUCACCCAAAAUAUACAUCAAGAUGAAUCUAAAAAAUAAGCUUUCAUACGAGCUCUCUCUAUCAUAUGAACUCAAUGAAACAACUUGGCACGUCCAUACACAUGCCUGAUGAAGAAUGAUACAAUGAAUAAUGCGCUAUCAUCAAUCAAUUUUUUUAUUUUUUUAUUUUAUUAUUUUUUUAUUUUUUAUUUUUUUUUUAUUUUUUUAUUUUUUUUAUUUUUAUUUUUUUUUUAUUUUUUUAUUUUUUUUAUUUUUUAUUUUUUUUUAUUUUUUUGCGCGUACGCUGAUCAAUAGUGAAUGAACUCCCAUGAAAAUACAUACCCAAAUGAAUAAACUCUCUCCAUGUACUGAUGUAACAUGAAUCCUCACUAACAAGACAACCUCUCAAAUAAGAUCCCUGGACCAUUGCCCAUAAGGCGAACGGGGGAGGAACGUGACAAUCCUCCAUGCAGUGACGUGUGAAAAACCACCACUCAAGGUGAAACACGGAUAAUGUCGAGUAAGCGAUGAUGAAAGAAAAGACAGAGAACGAAUAUCACAAGUGGUGAUAUAUGAUAUAAGAAAAAUAGUGAUGAAAUGAUGUCCAAGUGGAAAAUAUCACAGUGAAAAGUGAAGAAUGAUGCCUGAAUAUGUAUGUCAGGUUUGGAACUCAUGACGUAUCCAAUCAUAGCAUGCAAGCGCUACAGGGUCCCUAACCCGGUGUAAUAGGUAAAUGAGGUGAUGAAAGAAAAGGCUAUGUGCUCGUGUGAAGCUCAAAGGGCUAGCAAUGGAUAACUCUAUAUGUGAGGGUGAUAAAGUAAAUAGGCUCAUGAAAUGAUGGCCACCCAUCCUUUAACCACAACCUCGAACAUCGUGCUUUUGAGAUCUCACAUGGUCAAUACUAAAGACUGGCAUCCAUCCAACAUAGUCAUGGCGACUCAUCUGAAAUCGCGUAAAAGCCCUCACUGAUGCUCUGUGAUAACCGUCAAUAUCCUCGGAUAAUCACCUCACUCUAUCAUCAUAAUCCACUCACCAUCGUCUCAUAAAAUCACCAUCUCUAAUCAUCCCGACUCUCUGAAGUCAUGUGCAAUGACUCAAAUCUGGAUGCUCCAUGACGUCUCCUCUACCUCAACAACAUCGUCAAACAAUCAAGCCACUCUCUCAUCAUGAUCCAUCUAUCAUCGUGUAAAGCUCACCUCGGGUCUAACCAUCUCGGACUCUACCUGGUCAGAUCCAUGAAAUGAUGGAAAGGAUAGGCAAUGGUACUGUAGCCUGAUAAGGCGAACAGGGAUGGUAAAGUCGUACAGUAAUACCAAAGGGUGGUGUCAUGUCAGGCUCAAAAUGGGUAGGUCAUCAAGUCUGAAAAGGCUAAGGUAUGGAUGUGGGUAUGGUACCACUCUAAUCAGAAGGUGAAAUGGGUCACAGCCUCAAACUCCCUAGGUCGAUCUCCUGAUCCUAGGUCAAUAGACUCAAUAUCCUCCAUGAUAGGUCAGACCCAAGUGAUCGUGAUGUAAGUGAAAGAUGUAUCAUAUCGAAAGCAUAACACGCAUCAACGCAAGAUAUGUAAAACACACUCCCGAGAAAAAUGCCACAAUACUCAAGAUAAAAUAUCAUAUCACUAAAUGAACCAACGAGUACAUCAUGUGUGAAAUGGUAAAGGACUACAAACAACUGGACUCUCAACAUGAAACUAAAAACAAUGACCCUAAACCGAAAACAGGACUCAACAAAACAAAAACAACUCUGAUGAACUGAAAACUGGACUCAACAAAAUGGAAAUGAGUCUGAUGAUGACCAUAAUCAAAAUGAGAAAUGCUCUGAACUGAACUGCUACCAAGUGAUGUACCCAUGUCGACUGACCUAAGUCCUCAUCCUGGAAGAUCCCAGAGCGCCAUAUGCCAACAGUACCAUCAACAUCCAAAUCGGUCUACUGAAGACCAGGAGGAGGAGGAACUGCAUGUGUAGAAUGUGUAGGCAGGGGAUUGGUGGUCACACUUGGCCUAGCCAAGUCAACCACCCCUGAAUCGAUCAAAUCCUGUAUCGCAUGAUGGAGUGCUGAACAACGCUCAGUAUCGUGCCCCGGAAUCUGAUGAUACAAGCAAUGCUCAUGUAAACGGAAAUGAGGAGGAAUAGGAUGGGGCAAAGGCCUCGGUGCCAAAGGAACAAUCACUCCAGCGUCUCUGAGCUUCUCAAAAGCUCUAGUCAAAGUCAUACCCAACGGAGUAAACUGUCUCGCGGGCCUCUGUGCAUAUGGCCUAGGUAGCGGGUGAGUAGUGGCUCUCGGAUGUGGUGGUCGCGGCUGCACGCUAGUCUGAGCAAUGUAAGGCUCCUGAGCAUAAUCCAACUGAUACUGAUACUGUGGAAGAGAGAAAGGAGCUCUGACUGUAGGAGGCCUAUAAGCUGAGUGAAGCGCGGGCCUCCGGUGCUGAUAGCUAAUAACACCAACCUCUCCAGAUCUACCCAAUGGUCCAAUCAGCUUCUUCCCCUUACUGUCAGGGGAAGAAGUAGUAUCUGUCCAUAAUCCUCGAGCAAUGGCCUCCUCAACACUGAAAGCUGCCUGAACCAAACUCCUGAGAUCCUGAAAUGGGAUGCCCACAAGACGUCUCGCGAACCUCGGCUGUAGGUUCCGAAGAACCAUAUCAAUCUGAUCCUGCUCCUUAGGCCGGUCUACCAUACCAGCCACCUUUGCCCUCCAACGAGUGACAAAUGAAGAAAUAGACUCCUCUGGCCUCUGUCUAGUGGCCUCCAACUCUCGUCUGGAUACAUCAAUAUCGGCACUGAAAGCGAACUGAGUCAGGAACUCACGAGCCACGUCUUCCCAGGUGCGGAGUCUCGAAGGCUCAACUGAAGCAAACCAUCUCUGAGCUGCUCCACUAAGUGACAUCGGGAAGAGGGCCACCAACUGCGCAUCAUCUAUACCAUGUGCUCUCAUGACCGUGCUGUAUAGCCUCAAGUGGAUCUUGGGACAACCAAUCCCACUGUAACGCUCAAUGUCUGGCAUGCGAAACUUGGCGGGCAAGCUAGCCGCCGGUAUGCCAUCCCUGUCAUCCCAAGUCAAACCUCCGUCCUGCAAUCUGAUCUGUCUCAUCAUGGACUCAAGCCUCUCAACCUUGGCCUCCUGCUCGGCCAAUCGAGUAUCCUCAAUAGUAGGAACCAUGGGAGGCGGCACUGUGACAGUAGGUGGUGGAAUGGUCUCAUAAUGAUCUGCCAGAUGGAACGGAGUACCAAGUGAAACCCUAGGUGGACGAGUCUGUGCUGUCUGAGAUGCAUGAGGAACUGUCUCAUCAAUGACCAUGCCAACCGGCUGGGGAUCCUGGCGAGAACUCUCUAUCUGAUCCAAGCGCUUACUGACUCCGGCCAUGAACUCCUGAAUGGAAGCGAGUGUGGAAGCUAGCUCGUCUGACAUCUCAACUGAACUGUCUGAACUCAAAUAUGAAUCUGAUCUGAUCAAUCGUCCUCCAACUCUCCUCCAAGAAUGUGACUCCAGACUCAACCGACUCCUAAACUGACUUCCUACAAUGCAAACAAGAUGGAUGAAGGACAUGAGAUGAAACUCUAAAAGACGACAGUACAACAUACAAGCACAUGGUCCAGAGGUAGCAAUCAGAAAUCUGGAUAUAUGACGAGAACUCUGGAGUCAUAAAGGUGUCCACUGUGAGAUGGCUACAAAUGUGACUAGAGAAUUCCUAUCAAUAAUCCAAGAUGAAAGAGGUGUGAAAAACACACUAUCACGAGAUCGGUACUCCAUCAAUAAACAUAUACCUUUAACUCAACUUCCAACCCAAGCUCCAUAAGAGAAAAAAUGAUAGGGUGAUCAAGGCGAAUCUCUCGAAAAAAGUGUGGAUGUGAAAAUGCGCCUUUCACCUUUCCGUAAUGAAAAUAUGAGCAUCGGGUUGAAAAUUGAAUCAAGUAUCCAACGAAGAAAUGAAGUACUCAGCCCGUGAUAGGUGUACAAUGCAAAAACAAGAUGAUCAAUGAACAUAUCCCAAAGUAUCAAGUGAGUGACAACAAAGUGAAGGGGUGUGUCGAGCCAAGAAAUGAGAACGAAAUCCCUAGGGAGAAAACAUGCUAAACUCCUUGAGUAAAAAAACAUAAUCUAAGGUGACAAGGCGAAAGGUGAUCCAACCGAUACUCAAACAAAUAACGAUCUCCGAGUACUCUCAACUGGAGACUAAAAAGAGGGAAUACUGGAUCCGAACUGUAACUAAAGAGGCUCCGAAGGCCCUCAGAUGCACCCACGUGUGAGGAAGGAAGUCCUACUCGAAGGAUCUACGGCUCAACCUACGAGGUCAGGUGGCUCUAAAUGGAUAUGGGUGGACUUUAAAAAAAUCCCGAGCAGAAGCGAUCAUACCCUCCAGCGGUACGCAACCCUCUGCACACCUCAGAAAAGACGGGGCGCUUCCAUGCAAGGUGGACAUCGCAUCCACACAUGCACUACCUCGACAUCCCAAGGGGUUUCCUAUGGUGAAUUCUCUCAAACUCUCAACGCUCAAUAGUCAACUAGAGUGCACAGUAAUCGGUGUGGGUGCAUCCGAAACCCUAAGAAGAUAAAGCAGAAGAUGAGACACACUGGUCGCAUAAAUAUCCAUGAAACCUAGCUCGGGGCUAUACAGGUCUUCAAUGAUCGGACUCUAAUCGACAACAAUGCGCCGCUCGCCUCCAGAAUGCUCCCAAACAUCAGUAUAGCCCGUCGCUGGACCCUACUCCUAACCUCUAUCUCGGUCAGAGUACAAGCACACACAAGGCCUCACACUUGCAAAAGUGAGAACCGUAAUGAAGGAAGUGACCGAGACUAGAGGGUGGGAGACAAGGAGAUAGAUAUGCGACCCACAUAAACAAACGGCACACAAUCAUGCAAAAGGAGGGCAGUCAUGCGACACGCAAUCAAACAAAUCUCAGAUAUAUCAUCAAUGUACACACACAAAAUAAGCGAGAAUACGACGAUCAGAUGAAUAAUGAUACAAAGACAACACGCUUAAAGAUGAUCAAAAUAAUAUACCAACAAGUGGAUCAGCAUGUCGAGUCGAAUGAUAUACAGUGGUGAGUGUAUGCAUGUGAAGUGAUUAGAACAAUCAUGGCAAAAUCAGAGUAAAUGUGCUAAGCAAUGCAAUAUGAUCAAUCAAUAUAAAUCAGCAAUGUCGAUGUAGCAAACAUAUAUAAUCAGUGAAGCACGAAAAAUCACGGCCUCAGAAGCCUCAAUCAGGAUAAAAUCAAUCAUCAUAAUCAACAUGUCAAAAGUCUCGAACAGAUAUAAAAUCCGAGUAUACAUCAAAUAUCCUCAAUGUGCAAUCAAGAAAUGGGUACCCAUUGAUCGUCCAAUCGAAUGCCACGUUUGCUUCAUUCUAAGUUCAAGCUUGACCCUCUAAAAAAAAUCCCCAGUGGAGUCGCCAUUUUGUGGACCCCGCGUUUCGAUCUAUCUCAAUGCGUUUCCCACUCAAUGGCGAGCUCGAUUUUUAUUUUAUUAGAAAAAAUGAUUUUUAUCGAUUAAGAAAAUGACUUGGAGUCGCCACUUAUUUUUGUUUUAUUAUUAAAGGGUAAACAAAAUAAGAAAGAAAAACCCUAAGUGUGACUCCUUAUUUUGGAAAAGGCGGUCUGUGAAAAACCGGAUCGGGUUCGGGGGUCAGGUUACUUCUCGGGAAGGUAUGGUAAAGACCGUAGCACCCCUCUAAGUCCCUAAAGUCGGGUCUCUACUAAUAAAAUGAAGCUGACAUGGCAACCAAUGAGAAAGUCAAUGAAUACCUAGGACGAAUCAUGCACAUACGAGAAUUAAAACAUGCAAAUAAAAUGACUAGGAUGCGAGUGGAUGUGUACCUGGACCGUGAACGAUCAAUGCGCUAUCAUAAAACAGGGUUAGUGAGCAAUGAACAAAAUAUAAUUAAGCGCAUAACAUGGAACAAAAUAAAUCAAACACGCACGAUAAGUAAAUCAAUCAAAACAAUCAAUCAAUCGUCAAUUCACAUAUGUGGGGGCCCCACCAAAGCCCGUUUAUUUUUGCAUGAAUNNNNNNNNNNNNNNNNNNNNNNNNNNNNNNNNNNNNNNNNNNNNNNNNNNNNNNNNNNNNNNNNNNNNNNNNNNNNNNNNNNNNNNNNNNNNNNNNNNNNGGAAAAUGGGAGGUUUUAGGCCUUAAAAAUAAAUCUAAGGAUGAAAUUCGAAAGGCAAAAAUUGUUGAAAGGAUUUGGAAAUUGGCCAUUAUAAAAAAAAAACCAUUGGAGGGAUUAUUAUUAAAAGAUGUUUCAGGAAAAUUAAUUUGAAAAUCAUAGGAACAGGAAGUGGGUGAUUAACACGUGGCUUCCGAUUUACUGCCAUUGCCACUAUACCCACCAUAGUCACCAAGCCCAUAGUCAAUGCCUCCAAGUGCUCGGUAGGAAAUAGGCCCAAAACACUAAGACGUGCCCCAGAGUUAGAGAAGAUGCUGGAGAGAUCUUUGAUCAAGCCACUUCACCAGAUUUAUGGCGAUAGAUCUUUCCGAAGACAUGAAGAACGGUGACAAAGCCGAUAAAGCAAAGGUUCAACACGAGAACCACCGUUGGAGUAAUCUUCAAGCCCGGAUCGUCAUCGGUGUAGAACAAGAGCAUGUUGCUCUCGCUGCUGCCACUGCCGCACCCUCCGGAGCUCUAAAACGACAGUGCGUGUGAGGAGAUUGACAACGACACCGUCGAAGACAACCGGUCUACAUAACCCUCCAACAAGCUUCGUCCUGAAGCUACUUCCGCCGCGGUGCUUUCCACAUGUCGUCCAUACAUCCAGUGACCCGAAUCAGCGCCACCUCGUCCUCAACUCCAACGCAGCUGAAUCUCACGCUGCUGUCCAGUUUGACCUGCGUCGGAAAGAACGACGUUGGGGGCCACGCAGGCAUCGACGGUGAUCUUCGGGAGCCACUGCCCCAGGGGAAUUAUCCUUCUCCGUCCUUUUUUUGAGCCUUCAACACUUUCUACAGCAAAAGUCUCCUCAACUUUUGAUGGCCCCCACAUGUACCAGUUGAGGCUAUUUAUGAAUUUCAUGGUUCAGAUUUGCAUCCAUCUUAUCUGAUUAUUCAAUCUGUUCUAGCUUGACAACGUCCAGAUUAAGCGUCCACUUAUUGUCUUCUGAUGAGUCAAGCUAUAAUAACCAGAUUUCUUUGUCGAUGUCUAUUGAUUCGGAUACCUUCAGCACAACAGAUCAGAAAAACUUGUUGCCUCAACUAUAACCUCAGUGUAGCUGGAGGCUCAUAAUCCUGCAGCUUAUUGAAAAAAAGAUCCAGUGACUAAUCGAAAAACCUGCCCAUCAUAGGUCCGACCAGUUCUUCCUCUAAGCUACUCAACCUGAGACUUGGAGACAUAGGCAAGCUCUGGAGCUUCCUUUUUCCGAUUACUGGAAGCUCACAGAGUGACCUUCCUCAUUUCUUCAUUCUACAACAGCGAACUCUCUUUCUCAAAAGCACCCCAAUCCAAACGGCCAAAUUCAAAACAAGAUGUCCAAUACUCCAAAAGAACACCAAAAAAACAGAGAAGAAAGUGAAGAAAACAGAGUGCGUGCAAGAGAUGAUAAUACCAUUAAACCAAACUUUACUUCAUGAAGAUCGGAGAGCUUAAAACAAUCUGGUGGGUUAAGUGAAUGGUUUUAACACAUAAACAAACAACAUCGACACCAUGUGACUCACACAGGAAUAAACAAAAAUCAAGCAAGCAGGGAUGAAAACAUGCUUAAGAUCUUAAACAGUCAAAAUGAACAUUUCAAAUAUUAGGAAAGGAGUCAAAUAUGGUUGUGAAAAGGAAAAACCUGAAGUCGAAGACAACCAAAAUUUGGAUGACUCCUUUUCUCUCUGUGACUGAAAUCCCACCUUCUCGUUCUACUCCCUGAGCUGAGAACUCUCCUCUCAACUCCAAACUCACUCCAGACCAGCCUCUCUUCACUCUCCCCCUCCUCUCUGACUCUCUCUCUCUAGCUAAACUCCUCUAAGCCUUCCCUCCUCCUCAAAAUAUCUCUAACGGACUCUGAAAAGCACUCCCUACUCCAGCUGCCAGAGACGCUCCUCCAUUCACGGCUUCCAGAUUCCCAUGCAACGUGUCCCCUUUUGAUUGGCUUCCCAAACCACUAUUAUGAUUCUCUCAUGGCUUCUCAGGUGUUGACACGUGGCUGACCAAGGCUCUUCCACAUGGUAAAAUUGAGCUGCAAGGUAGGAAUGACCUAAAAGGGGGUCUACACAUGUCUUCGUAUAUCUUUAUCCAAUUUAAAUAGUUUUUAUAUAUUUAUCUUUAUCCAAUAACUUUUUCCUCCCCUAACCCAAAAUAUUUAUAAUGAUAUUCUUAAUAAUUUUUUUAUUAUAUAUAAAAAAGUCUAAUAUUACAAUAAUAUAUUAAGAGUCCUCGCUCAAUUACAAUACUUAAUUUUUUUCUAAGCAAUUAAUUCUCUAUUCCUCUGAUUUUUUUUUGCUUUUAACUACCAUUGGGCAAUUACAUUUUUAAAUACAAUUUUCAAAGUACACGUUUAUCAUAAUUAUAUCUUUAUCCAAUUUAAAUAGUUUUUAUAUAUUUAUCUUUAUCCGAUAACUUUUUCCUCCCCUAACCUAAAAUAUUUAUAAUGAUAUUCUUAACAUUUUUUUUAUUAUAUAUAAAAAAAUAUAAUAUUACAAUAAUAUAUUAAAAGUCCUCAACUCAAUUACAAUACUUGUUUUUUUUCUAAGCAAUUAAUUCUCUAUUCUUCCGAUUUUUUUUUGCUUUUAACUACCAUUGGGCAAUUACAUUUUUAAAUACAAAUUUCAAAGUACACAUUUAUCAUAAUUAUAUCUUUAUCCAAUUUAAAUAGUUUUUAUAUAUUUAUCUUUAUCCAAUAACUUUUUCCUCCCCUAACCUAAAAUAUUUAUAAUGAUAUUCUUAACAAAUUUUUUUAUUAUAUAUAAAAAAAUCUAAUAUUACAAUAAUAUAUUAAGAGUCCUCGCUUCCUUCCAAUUUUUUUUUUGCUUUUAACUACCAUUGGACAAUUACAUUUUUAAAUACGAAUUUCAAAGUACACGUUUAUCAUAAUCCUGUUAAGAAAUAUAAAGAUAUAUCUUUAUCCAAUUUAAAUAGUUUUAUAUAUUUAUCUCUAUCUGGUAAUUUUUUCCUCUCCUAAUUUAAAAUAUUUAUAAUGAUAUUCUUAACAAUUUCUUUAUUGUAUAUAAGAAAAAAUUAAUAUUAUAAUAAUAUAUCAACUGUACUCGCUCCAUUACAAUACUUAAUUGUUUUCUAAGCAAUUAAUUCUCUAUUCUUCCAAUUUUUUUUGCUUUUAACUACCAUUGGAGAAUUACGUUUUUAAAUACAAAUUUCAAAGUAUACGGUUUAUCAUAAUCUUGUUAAAAAAUACAAAACAUGUUCUUUAUCCAAUUUAAAUAGUUUUUAUAUAUUUAUCUCUAUUUGGUAAUUUUUUCCCCUCCUAAUCUAAAAUAUUUAUAAUGAUAUUCUUAACAAUUUCUUUAUUGUAUAUAAGAAAAUUUUAAUAUUAUAAUAAUAUAUCAACCGUCGCUCCAUUACAAUACUUAAUUUUUUUCUAAGCAAUUAAUUCUCCAUUCUUCCGAUUUUUUUUUUGCUUUUAACUAGCAUUGAGCAAUUACAUUUUUAAAUACAAAUUUCAAAGUAUAUGUUUAUCAUAAUCUUGUUAAGAAAUACAAAACAUGUCUUGGUAUAUCUUUAUCCACUUUAUAUAGUUUUUAUAUAUUUAUUUCUAUUUGAUAAUUUUUUCCUCUUCUAAUCUAAAAUAUUUAUAAUGAUAUUCUUAACAAUUUCUUUAUUGUAUAUAAGAAAAAUCUAAUAUUAUAAUAAUAUAUCAAAGUCCUUGCUCCAUUACAAUACUUAAUUUUUUUCUAAGCAAUUAAUUAUAUAUUCUUCCAAAUUUUCUUUUCUUUUUUUCUUUUAACUACCAUUGGACAAUUACAAUUUUAAAUACAAAUUUCAAAGUACACAUUUAUCAUAAUCCUAUUAAGAAAUACAAAACAUGUCAUAUAUGUUGUCUCUCAUUUUAAUAUUUGAUAUUAAAAUCAUAUUUAUAAUAAUUGAUUAAUAACAUGAAAAGGAUGUAUUCUAGAAGUCCUAAAAUUCAUUAUUAUCACAUAAAAUAAAUAUAAAUUUAAACUCCAAUUUUUGAAAAAUGAUAUUACAAAAUUAUGAUUUAGAGCUACGAUUGGAUGAUAAUUUUGCAAAAAUUUGUGGAGUAAGAGAUAAUUAUGAGUGUAAACAACUCGUGGAUUUGUAUUUGGAUUUGGAUUCAUCAUAUAUUUAUAUUUUUAGGGUUUUGAUAAAACCCUAAAAAUAUUUUGACUCCGAUUUAAUUAUCUUAAAUUGGUUGGACCUGAAAAUAAAUUGAGAAAUAGGCAGGAAUAGAAAAAUACAAGGCAAAGACGAGCUGUCCCAGUGGCGUGGAAAAAACUUCUUAACUUCUCUGAAUAACUGCCAAAUAUCACGAAGGCCCCAACAAACAUACUAUUAUUACGCACUUUGCUGUUGCAGAGUCGCACCUAAAUUCCUCUCAAAUUCCUGCUUCCUCCACCAAUGGCCACUCUCUCUGCCUUCUCUACUCCUUCUCCUCCAUGGCCAAAUCCUAACCCUAGCUCUGACCCUAACCCUAACGCUAAGUCAGACUUGCCUGAUCAUGAGGAGCGGUCGCAGAGAACCGAACUGGAGGAUGUCGAUUCGCCGCCGAAUUCUCGUCCUACUCAAAACUUUAACCCUAACAUCCAGGAUGGUCGUCUGUCUCCAUCGUCGGUUCCGUCUCUUCUCCACAUCUCGUUCAACCAAGACUACGGAUGCUUCGCGACGGGUACAGAUAGGGGGUUUCGCGUCUAUACGUGUGACCCCUUCCGUGAGAUAUUCCGGCGAGAUUUGGACCGCGGCGGGGGGAUUGGGGUUGUUGAAAUGCGGUUAGUGUCUAAUUUGAUGGCCUUGGUGGGCGGGGGCUCCGACCCUCAGUACCCGCUCAACAAGGUCAUGAUCUGGGACGAUUAUGAGAGUCGGUGCAUUGGCGAGCUCUCGUUUCGGUCGGAGGUUCGAGCAGUUCGUCUCCAGUUGGACCGGAUUGUGGUGGUGUUGGAGCAGAAGAUUUUCGUGUACAAUUUCGCGGACUUGAAGCUUUUGCAUCAGAUGGAGACGAUUGCGAAUCCGAAGGGGCUUUGCGCGGUUUCGCAGGUGGCUGGGUCUAUUGUGCUGGUGUGUCCCGGGUUGCAGAAGGGGCAGGUUAGGGUUGAACACUACGCGUCUAAAAGGACCAAGUUCAUCGCGGCCCAUGAAUCCAGAAUUGCGAGUUUUGCGCUCUCAAUGGACGGGCAGUUGCUUGCGACUGCAAGCUCUAAGGGGACUCUGGUCAGGAUUUACAACACAAUGGAUGGGGUAUUGCUCCAAGAGGUACGUAAUAGUUUUUCUCAUUCAGUGGAAAUUCUGAACUUUUAGUGGAUCAUAUGAAAUAGAGCAUCAAAUUUCUCGUUGAAAUGCAAUCUCUUGUUGAAUAUAGCUAUGGAUUUAUGAAAUUUGGUUGAUUUUGUGUGUGGAACUUGGUGGUUUGGAAAUUUCUUAAUUGCAUAAUUGUGGAUGCCCCGUGUAUGCCUCUCUUAGCAUGCCCUCAAAGCCUAAAUGAGAUUCUAGAACUGGGGAUUGAUAUGGUUGAAAUUUUAGUCUUCAGAAUUAUUUUCAUUUCAUAUUAUUUUGAAUUGACAUUGGUGCCUACAUUUUGAGGUGUGACAAAAUUAUCAUCACUCUUAAUUGAGCAAAUAUGUCUUCACAUGCAUAACCCAGCAUGCUGUAAUUGCUCAUAGAUCCUCUGGAAAGAUUGGGAAAUUUUACAUUGCAAUUCAAUCUGCUGCGCAAUUAAGAAACGUUAGGCUCAGUCCUUUGAAGCUGUCAAGCCAAAUAUGUCAGCUGAAUCUGGCCUAAGCUGAACCGGGAAACCUAAGUGGGUUACAGUGAAUUUACUUCUGAGGUGCCAAGUUACCAUGUUUGGGAGAGAAAAUAUGAACUAUUUGUUAGUUCCUCUACUCAUUUGUUGACUAAUUUUUUUUAUAGGUACUUUCCCCUUCUUUGGUCCCCAGUGUGGGACUUGAACUUGGAACCUCCCACAACCCCACCCCAAACCUUUAUGCUGUUGCAUUGUCCCUGCUGUACUAUUGGGUCAGAUUGCUUUUCAAAGCAGGGCCAGGAUGGACUUGCGUGAAGCCCUGGAUGCAGGCUUGCUGCACUUUGGGCUUGUCUAAAGAAAGAAAUAAAGUAGAACAAAUGUGAUCUUUAAGUAUAAGUAGCCUUAGCUCAGUGGCAACUAAACAGGUUGGAUUUUUUUUUAUCGUCAUUUCAAUUCCUUACACCUACAAUAUGAAGUAGGCAUUAUCUGGUCUCAGGCUGCACAUUGUGCUGAGGCAUGCCCAUACAAAGAUGCAGGUAGAGUUAUGGUCUGAAGAUUUGGGCUGAGUUUUUGUGUCUUCAGGCCAAUUUACAAUCACUAAACUCAUGCAGAACAAUUCAUGGAAAAGGAAACAGAGAAUCGAGGAGAGGUUAUCACUAUACUGCCUGUGUCAUUGACCAUAGGAGGUUUGUUUUGUUCUAUGUUCAUUAAACUUUGAUGACAUUUUUUGUUCUAUGUGGAAUAUCAUGAAAAUGUGGAUUUCUAAAGCAAGAUGUUAGUCUCCAUUUCGAACCAUUACCUCUAAUGCACUGUAUCUGAUCAUGGUUUUAUCACAUGUCAUCCAUGUAAUGAAUCAACUGGGCUUGUCCAGUAUUCUUGAGACAAUUGAUCUACAUAAUCUGUUGCUUAAUUAAUUUGGGGAAUCUACAUAAAUCAAUUCCUGCAUUAGGAAAUGUAAGAUUUUUCUUUUUGGUUUUUUUUUGGGGUUUUAAAGAUAAGAAUGUCUCUACAUGCUCCUUCUGGUCUUGCCAAGUGGGGAACUUUUCUUGUUUCUGCUGGGAAUCCAAAUUUACAAUUAUUUUAUCCUGAACUACUUGUAUUCAUGUUUGUUUAUGCUUUUGAGUUCAUAGCAUUGUAGAUAUAUUGCAAAUAACUGGAUAUCUAAUGCAGUUACGAAGGGGUGCUGACAGAGCAGAGAUCUAUAGUAUGGCAUUCUCUUCAACUGCACAGUGGCUGGUAGUCUCAAGUGACAAGGGCACUGUCCAUGUUUUCAGCCUUAAGGUUAAUUUAGCAUCCCCUGGGAAUGACAAGUCACGUGGUGCAUCUAAUUCCAAUCUGGCAGUAGCAUCAUCCACCUCAUCACUCUCUUUCAUCAAGGGUAAGGCACCUUUUCUUCAGUGUAUAGUUGUCUCAGUGAUAUGCAAGUUCUUACCAAAUUAGUGAUCUUGUGAAAUGAAACUCUCACUUUUUUGUCCCUCAAUACUUUUGAUUUGUGAUUUUCUGUCCCUUGUUUUUUACGCUUUUUUUAUGCAAUUGUUUUUCUUUGCUUCCCCUGCAUCUGUCAUUACUUGUUGCUUACUAGGAAGUAAUGAUGGAGAGUUGAUGAGCAAGACCCCAAGAACAAGAUGCAUUAGACAAUGUCAAUGUAUUGACUGUUGAAGGCUAAUAAUAAAUUGUGUCUUUGGCUUAGAACUUACUUGAAUUCUUACUUACAGGAGUAUUGCCCAAGUAUUUUAGCUCAGAGUGGUCAGUGGCUCAGUUUCGCUUGCCUGAAGGUUCUCAAUACAUUGUUGCUUUUGGUCACCAGAAGAAUACUGUGGUAAUUCUUGGAAUGGAUGGAAGGUAAGUGAGCACCAAGCUCAAAGAGGACAAACUUUAUGUAAUCCAAUAUAACUGCUUGUUACUUUGAAAUUUUCCUAUUGGCAUGCUCAAUUUUGACUUUUUAGAAAGUAUACACAUAUAUUCACCAGACUAUCAUCUGGGCUGUGGUUGGAGGGAAGAGUGGCUUCUACUGAACAACAAGCGUUUUUCAAGUUGCUUGUUGAUCAGGAGAGAGCUGCAGACCAUACAUCACAUGCAGUCAUCAGUCUUAGUAAGCUAUUCAUUGUAGAAACAUCUCCUUCUUUCUAGCAUAGGUUAAAACAUUGCAUCUGGAAGGUUGCAUGAGACAUUUUCUUUGACCACUAUAUUUUUAUUUCCCUGAUUCUUCUUUGCCUGCAACCCAUGUUUUUGCCUCUCUCUCUUCCCUCCAUCAGCCCAUGUUUCUUUUUCUUUUUUGUUUCACAUUCAUCAUAACGUUUUCUGUUAGAAAAGAAACUGGAAAUAAAAUUGUUGAUAUUCACUUGAAUUUGAAUGAUUGAAUGCAGCUUCUAUCGAUGUCAGUUCGAUGCAGUGAGCGGUGGAGAGAUGAUUCAGCUGGAGUACCACAACUUCCUUAAACCUGAAAAUACUAUGUAAUAGGGGCUUGGGUUACUUGUACGUUCUAUUUCUGGGCUAUGUAUAUAACAUUCCCUUUAUGGUUUUUAUCUUGCAUUUUACCCUUACCUAUGGAUGGCUACACAAAUCUAUUGUAAGUAUCUCAGUGUAGAUGGGUCACAAUCUAUAUAUACUGAUUAUAGUCAAUAUGAAAACAAAUUAAAGCAAACUUGUGUAGCAACUGUCUUCAUCCUAUUCAUAGUUUAAUUUCUUCUUUUCUGUGAGAUCUGAGUAGUGGCAUGUGAGAUAACAGCGUGUAAAGUUUCAUUCCAGCCUAGCACACUCUUCUUCAACUUCACCUUAUCUUCUCUUCUUCUUCAGUUUUGAUUUAUUUUUAAUUUAAUAAAAUAAUUGUUUAAUGUAUCAUUCAGGGUUCGGUUGUACAUUUUUUUUUUUAAAGAAAAAAAUGUUUAAGUGAGGGAAUACCAAUGGCAGAGUCCUAAAAUAGCUAGUGACAAGGCUCAGACUUCAAGUCCUCUGUGCUUCCCCAUGCCUUUUAUUUCCCUUUGUAUAUUGGAAAUAUAGCCCCCAAAAAAUCAAAUAUUAAAUGAGGAAGAUAAGAAAGAUGACUUAUCGUAGUAACACAAUGUGACAGAAGGAACUAGUAAAAUAUAAAUUUACUAACUAAAUAAACUAGAUGCCAUGUGUCAAAAAAAUAUUAUAGAUUUUGAAAUUGUUUAUCAGAGAUCUCAUUUCAAAAAAAAAAUUUUUUUUAAGUUAGUGAAUUUCUUCUUUUUUGCAUUUUUUUUUCUUUUUUUUUUUUUAUAAAAAAAAUCCCUCAUUUUUUGCCCUUGGAACUUCAAUCUUGCUUGGUUAGCUUAAUUCAAUGGUUUAGGGGUCAGAAAGAGGUGGUGACCAACCUGCAAAUACCACCCAACAAUGCAAUUAUGCAAGAAGAAGGGUCUGAAAGCCUGAAAGCUUGUUUGAUGAUAAACCCCAAAAAAGCUUUGGAAUACAAAGAGUGUUGGGGACAAGAAAUGAGAACGCAUCUCAAGAUGAAAUCUAAGGUCUCCAAAUUUGGUGCACUGAAAACUGUGAUUUUGACUGACUCACCUCUGACUUUUCUUUCUGCAGCAGCUUUGCCCCCAUCCACCCACCCACCCACAUGCCUACCUCCAUCGUCACACCCCACACACCCCCCCUCUAUACACCAUUUUCAUCACGCAAUCAUAGCUUCUUUUCCUUCCCUGAUAUCCCACAAUCAUCAGAUUCAUCACUCUACCUUGGACCACACACCCCUCCCAAGUAAUACAACUUUUUUUUCCCUUUUUACCCCUAUGAAUAGUCAAAGAAUUUAAUUGUAUGUCACAGACUCACAAUCAGCCAUACAGCUCCAAUGUUUCAGAGAGAAAGAAAAAAAAAAAAAAAAAAAGUACAUGGGUGGAGUGUAGCAUUGGGCCUCUUACAUAGACCAUGUGAUACUGAGUCAUAUUUACCUGACCAAAUGUAUAAAAUAAUUAACAAUCCAGAUUCACAUGGCAUAUAUAGAAAUGAAAAUGGCCCCAUUCAUAAUGUUCCUCUGAAAUUUCAUGAUACCAAUGGUGGGUCAAUAUCUGACCACUAAUUGGGGAUUUAAAACUAAUCUUCUGCCAUUAAUUUACAUCUCCAAUGAAUAAACAACUCUCAUUUUAUCAAAAAGUUUUAUUAUAUCAACUCGAAUAAUUAAAAUCCAUCAACUCUAAAUUAUUUUUUUUUAAAAGAAAAAUAAUUUGAGUGUAUGAAAUUAUUUUUUUAAAUUACAAAUUGAAUUGGUAAUUUACCAAUUCAUUUCCAUUAUAGUUAUGAAUAAAUCAUUUCGUAUACCACUAAAUAAACCCAUGAUCUAAGCCUUGAUUUAAAAAAAAAAAAUUCUAAAGUUGGUAGUGUAUACACAUUCAAAUAUAAUCUAUAUUUUUUUUUUACUUUGAUGCAAUUUAAGAAACAAUUUUUUUUUUCCAAAUAUCAAAACUAUUUUUAUUUUUCAUAAUCUAUAUUUUAAAUUAAUUAAGACUUUAAUUAUAAUUAUUUUUGAAAGUUGAUUCUUCUUUCUUUUUCGCAAAGCUCACAAGAGCAUAUAAUUUGAAAAAUAGAAAAAAUAAAAAAGAAGAAGAAAAACAAGGAAUGUUCUUAAUGAAUUUGUGUAGAAAAUUAUUUUAUAUUCAAUAAAAUUUUAAAAAUACUAAAAUAUUUAAACUUUGUUUCCAACUUCUAAAAAAAAUAAAAGAUGUGAUUACAACAUUGAAAAAUGCUUUCUCGAUUUCUAUUGAAAAAAUAGUAUGAAUUAAAUGGUGUCAAAUAUAUAUUUUUAUGUAUUCUUAUUUAAUCUAAGUCCAUAUUUUUUUGUUCAAUAUUAAGCUACAUUACCUUUUCAUUGUCCAAAAAUUAUUGCAAGCAAGAAUAGUAUUUACCUGUGCCUUUUCUUCUUCAUGAAUUCAAUGUGAACAGUAGAGAAGUCCUUUCUAAAGGAGCGGGGCAAGUUGAUUGAAACAAGAGAAUCGAGGUGGACAGCAACUACACGAAACACCACUGCAUAAGAAGCCAACAAACUAGUAUAUAAAGCCCACCAUACCCUCUUCAUUUGCAGUACCACCUCACCAUCCUCCAUUCAUAUUGCCCAUUUUCACCCACCUCUUUCUCUCUCUUUUUCUAUUUUUUCUCACCUACCCUCCUUCUCUUUCUCUCUGCCUCUCAGUUUCUCAGUCUUUCAAUGGCGCUCAAGCUCCAUGGAAUUCCCAUGUCCACAUGCACCACUCGUGUCCUCACCUGUCUCCAUGAGAAAGGCUUGGAUUUUGAGCUUGUCCCUGUUAAUCUCUUUGCAGGUGAACAUAAGCAGCCUCCUUUUCUUGCCAAGAAUGUGAGUCUCACUUCCCUCUUUCUUUCUAAUCAUCCCUCUUUAUUCUCUUUGAAGAUUUUACUUUUCUUUGGGGUUGUAUAAAUUAUGAUUUUCCUUGGUUUGGGUACAUUGUUUUUAGUGUGCAGUCUUGUCGAUUUGAUUUUGGUCUUGGUUUUGUUAUACAUAUAUGCAGCCCUUUGGACAGAUUCCAGUUCUGGAAGAUGGCGAUCUCACUCUUUUUGGUAAGUCCUCGGUUUUAAUCACUUUCCUCAUAAAAGCUUGAAAUUUGUUGUACUGUACUACCAUCAGGAUUGACAGUUCCUGAGAUUUAUUAGCUGCUUGCUUUUGAACAAAAUUUUGCUUUAAAAAAUUAAAGGAGUUUUUCUUACAAAAUCAUGCUAUUUAGUACAACAUACGAGCUGGGUCUAUGAUACUAUUAAGUAUACUAUUGCCCCAGCCUUACUGAAAAUCCCUAGUCGAUGAAGUUGGGUUACUGAAAUUAUGUAUAUGUACCAGAAUCUAGGGCAAUAACAGCAUAUUUGGCCGAGAAAUACAAGGAAACGGGGUGUGAUCUCUUGAGGCACAAUGACCUCAAAGAAGCUGCAUUGGUGAAGGUGUGGUUGGAGGUUGAAUCCCAACAAUAUCAUCCGGCAAUAUACCAGAUUGUGUACCAGUUCUUCGUGUUGCCUCUACAAGGCAAGACGGCCGAUCAGGCCAUUAUUGAUGUAAAUCUGGAGAAGUUGGGUAAGGUUCUGGAUGUGUAUGAGGCCAGGCUGGGCACCACAAAGUGCCUAGCAGGAGAUUUCUACAGCUUGGCUGAUCUUCACCACCUUUCUUACACUUACUAUUUCAUGAAGACGCCAUGGGCUUCCCUCAUAAACAGCCGUCCCAAUGUGAAGGCAUGGUGGGAGGACAUUUCCUCAAGGCCAGCUUUCAAGAAAGUGGCUGAAGGCAUGACUUUUGGUGAGAAGUGAUCGGUUUCUGAGCAGUGUGGCUCUAUGUUUUGGGGUAAUAUUAAUUGUAGUGGUUGCUGCCUCUUAAUUACGUGUAUUUAAGUGUGAGACCACGUAAUAAUUACUGAUUAUGUGUUAUGAUUUGCCCUAAAUUAAUCAGAAAUGUGGAAUUAUCUGGGGUUUCUCAUUGUGGUAAUUAAUCUGCUUGCAACCAGUUUUUGAAAGGGUUUGAUGCAUUUUUACUCCAUACUUUGCUUUAGCUAGGGUUAUGUUGGUGUCUCUAAGGCAUAAUGCUUCCAUUUUUGAGUCAUUGCAUACUCAGAUCAAAGUUUUCAAGACUUGUAGAAAAUGGGUUUUGGUAUUUUCAUGAAAGAGAAUGAAAGGGCAAAUUUCUUCACAAGGCAUGUAGUAAGGGUUUUCCCUUUCAAUCAGUCUUUUUCCUGAGAAACAAACAGAAUGUAUAUCAUGCCGUGUCAUCCACUGUGACAGUUUUCCUCUGAAGAGUUUUACUGCAGUACUUCCUAUUUAUUCCCAUUUUUACUUCCCAAACGAGGUAAACACGUACUGUACUGCAGCUCUGGUUAUUUUCAUCAUCCUUGCUUGUCCAAAGCAGCUUCACUCUUUGAACCUAUUUUUAUUGUUAUAUAUAUAUAUAUAUUAGGUCAAAUUAAUCUUCCAAUUUUCUAACUCUAAGCCCUUGCAAAGAGUUUUUGUAGUAUCAUAUGUAUCUACUAUCAGUCAAGCAGAAACUGGAUAAUGUUCUAUAUACGCUUCAAUAAUUAUGGAUCCAGCAAAGGAGAUCUUUUGUUAUGCUACGGGUCUCUACUAAAAUCUGAGGCUGGAACCCACUUCAAUUAUUCACUCAUUUUGUUCUCAUAGAACCUUCAGCCAUGUGACCCUCACCCUCCAACUAACUUUCAACCACAUCUACCACCUUUCUUUCCUUUUUAUUUUUAUUUUUUAGUUUUGACCUAAUUCCAUCUAACUCUCAAAAUGUAUUCUAAAUCAUGCAUCACAGUCUCAAAAUAUAUGUAGGCCCUUCUCUCUAGAUUCUUGAUUCUAUAGUCUUGUACAACCCAAAUUUCUUAGACUCUAGUCUGAAUAAGCUUGAUAGACAUGAUUGUGCUUAUUAUUUAAUAAUUUAAGUUUUUCUUAUAGUAAUUAAUAGUUUAAUAUGAUAUAAUAAAAUUUCUUAUCUUAAUUAAUUUGUAAAAUUAUCUAGAUGAGAUAAAUAGAUAGUCCUAAUUUUUAACUCCAAAAAUUGAUUUUUUUUCUCAAUUAUAAAUUUUCUUAAUCCAAUGCGAGAUUCAAAUAUCAAAAUAAUAGCUAGUUUCAUAAGACACUUGAUGUAUGUGGAAAACCAUCAACAAUCAUGGGUUUGCAAAACAAAGUAAUUACUAAAUCUAAAAGAAUAAGUACACAAUUUUUAUCAAAAUUUGAUACUAUCUUCUCCCAAGGGUCUUAUGUUGGCACAUAUUUACACUUGUUUUCAUGUUUGAGAUGCAACACCUUAUACCCUUUAGGAAACUCCUCAACUACUUGAUAACAUAUAAUCAACCAUUAUGAUUUGAUCUCAAAUAAGAGUUAAGCGAUUGAAAAUGUAUGUGUAGUGAGUUUGAAAUGAGAAUGAUAGAGAAAUUGAACUUUUUCAUUAGACUUUAAAUGAAGCCAUUAAGGAAGAGAUCCACUCCCAAGAUUAAUUCAAGAUGGGGAUAUAAAAAUGGUAUCUUACCAUAAUGACGUCAUCCAUCAAACUUUAUAUGAAGAAGAUAAAUCCAUUGGUUGAACUCUUUAUAGAGGAAUAAUUGACUCUUUAUCAUUAAACAAUAUAUGUUUGUUUUCAACUUGCAAAGAAUCUUAUUCUAGUGCUAUUAAAAAAAUUCUUAAAUAUUUAAAAAGAAUAAUUAAACUAUGUUUGUGAUAUCAUGCAUACUAACUUUGAUCUAAUUAACUAAUUAAAAGUGGAUUUUCCGUUUGUAAAAGUAAUGGAAAUGUAUUAGUGGUACUUAUAAUGUUUGUUUUCAAUCUUACAAAGAAUCUUAUUUUAGUGCUAUUAAAAAUAUUCUUAAAUAUUUAAAAAGAAUAAUUAAACCACGUUUGUGGUAUCAUGCAUACUAACUUUGAUCUAAUUAACUAAUUAAAAAUGGGUUGUUCCAUUUGUAAAAGUAAUGGAAACGUAUUAGUGGUACUUCUAACUUUCUAGGCCACUCACUAGGUUUUGACAUAGUGAUCGAACCUUUGAUCAAUUGAGUUGUCGUGUGCGAUAUAUUUCAUAAUGACUAAUUGAUGCAUGGUGGUUUAGACUUAGUCUUAAUUGGUUGAGGACUUGUUGAUCAGAUGUUAAUCGAUUAAGGUUCUUGCACCUUAAUGAUUACCUCCAAGUGUACUUUUAUUUAAUAGCAUGUUUCUUAGUCCAUCGCCUAAUCCACUAAUUCAGCUAAAAAUGUGCCUAAGGGCUAGUUUCACUCUAGAACUCUUAUUUAAAACUUUCCAACCUUGAGCAAUCAUUGUAGCAAUUUAUUGAAUGGUUCUCUAGAAUACUCUUAUUCCCAAACUCGCAAGUCUCAUUUAGUCUACCUUAAUCUUAGUUUAUUUAUAUAUUUGAUCCUGAAUUUUGCAAACUAGAAAGCUUACUUUAAGAAAUUCACUCUUGUAUUCAUGAAAGAGUAUACUGAAAUGUAAGGGAUCACUUGAGGGCAUUGCAAAGGCAUAUUGGAAGCUUAAAUAUAAGUGUAAAAAAAUUAAAAGCAAAAUCUUAGCACUAGUGAAUGGACCUCAAGCUUAGAUUGAUGAAAGAGAGAGUGGAUAUAGGAGUUAUAGAACCAUUAUAAGUACUUUAUUGCAUCACUCUAUCCCUAUCUCUAUUAAUUUACUUGCACUAUAUUAAUUUUUAUAAUUUGCUUUUUAAUUUUCUAAAUUUUGCAAAAGAACUAACACCGAAUUCUCCUCCCCUCUUGGGUGUCUUCCUCAAGUGAACUCAACUAAUUUGCUUUUCAAUUUUCUAAAAUCAUGAAUCAAUGUAUCAUAAAGCAAAUCCACUAAUUUAAAAAGAAUUAAUACACGGUUUUACCUUAACCAUAUGUUAUCUUCCCCUAAUAAUCUUACACCAAUCAACACAUCCAUUUGUUUUCACGUUUGCAAUGCAAUAUAUGCUCCUUAGUAAACUCCUUAGCAAUUUGAGAUAAUACAAUCAACCAUCAUAAUUUAUCCUUUAAUUAAAGUUAAGUUUUCAGGAAUAUUGGAAACACACAUGAGAAUAACGACAAUUAUUUUCGAGAGCAUGUUGUUUUUUCAAUAUAAGGAGAAAAUCUUACUAAGUCUAUCCAAAUACAUUAAUUGAAAAAAAUAUAGAAUUAGAAAAUCAUGAAAAAAAAAAAACAAAUGGGUCCAAGGUAAACCGAUGUACUCCAUUUUGUCAUGAAUAUUCACUAAAAAUUACUCAACCGUACACAAGCUUGACACACAACAUUUCCCCACUACGUAAUAGCCAUUAAAUCAAAUGAAAAAUAAAAUCUCCAACGUUAAAUUAAGUUGACACCGUGUGCAUCCCUGGUUUCAUAAUGCAGAGUGAGAUGAAACAGAAUCGAUGCACAAGUACUGGGAAAUAAAAUUACCCAUCACGAGUCUAGAAAAUGGGUUCUGAUAUUUUCACAUAAGACAAUGUUGGAGGAUUCUAGGAAAAGAAAGAGAAUGCGGGAAAGGGAAAAUUCUUCACAUGCCUACAGCAUUUACGGCAUAAAGAACGUUUUCUUUCUCAAAGCAUGUGAUCUUUUUCCUGAGAACCAAACAGAUGGCAAAAGCAAGUUCCUGCUUGUCCAAAAAAACCCUGUACUCAUUGGACUAACAAAGCCUGAAUUAAAUAUGGGCCAUUUCGUACCUUCACCAUGGCCCAUUUCUUGUGAUGUUCUUUUGAAUAAAUUUAAGAAAUUACUGUUAGAAAUCAAAUAGAUUGAAUAAAUAUUUUAAUUUAUAAAAAAAUCAUCUUAAAUAAAUAACAAAUAAUAAAUAGGAGAAGGAAAAGAGAAAGUACGUAUAUUUGCAAUGUUACAUUACCUCACCUUAUCGUUUUCCAAAACUUAUAGUAAGCAAGAAUUGGAUUUACUUCUGCCUUCUAUUCUUCAUCAAUACAAUAUGAACGGUAGAGAAGUCCCUUGUUCUAAAGGAGCCGGGCAAGUCGAUUGAAACAAGCGAAUCGAGGUGGCCUGCAACUACCCUAAACAACACUGCAUAAGAAGCCAACAAACUAGUAUAUAACGCCCACCAUACCCUCUUCAUUUUCAGUACCACCUCACCAUCCUCCAUUCAUAUCGCCCAUUUUCACCCACCUCUUUCUCUCUCUCUCUCUCUCUCUCACUCUCUCAGUUUCUCAGUCUUUCAAUGGCGCUCAAGCUCCAUGGAAUUCCCAUGUCCACUUGCACCACUCGUGUCCUCACCUGUCUCCAUGAGAAAGGCUUGGAUUUUGAGCUUGUCCCUGUUAAUCUCUUUGCAGGUGAACAUAAGCAGCCUCCUUUUCUUGCCAAGAAUGUGAGUCUCACUUUCUUCUUUCUUUCUAAUCAUCUCUCUUUCUUCUCUCUGUAGAUUUUGCUUUCUUUGGGGUUGUAUAAAUUAUGAUUUUCCUUGGUUUGGGUACAUUGUUUUUAAUGUACAGUCUCGUCGAUUUGAUUUUGGUCUUGGUUUUGUUAUACAUAUAUGCAGCCC
rnacentral:lncRNA from 1 species